AUUGAACGCUGGCGGCGUGCCUAACACAUGCAAGUCGAGCGGGACGGCGGACGGGGGGAGAAUCCCUAGGAUUCUGCCUGGUUGUGGAGGCUAACUUCCGGAAACGGGCGCUAAUGCCGCAUACUAUCAGAUGAGUCUAGGUCGGAUUAGCUGGCUGGUGGGUUAAAGGCCUACUAAGGCGACGAUCCGUAACUGGUGUGAGGGGCUGAUCAGUCAGACUGGAACUGAGACAGGGUCCAGACUCUUACGGGAGGCAGCAGUGGGGAAUAUUGGACAAUGGGCGAAAGCCUGAUCCAGCCAUGCCGCGGGUGUGAAGAAGGUCUUCGGAUUGUAAAGCACUUUAAGUUGGGAGGCGUUACCAACAGAAUAAGCACCGGCUAACUUCGUGCCAGCAGCCGCGGUAAUUC
rnacentral:rRNA from 1 species